AGUGAACGCUGGCGGUAGGCCUAACACAUGCAAGUCGAACGGCAGCACAGUAAUAGCUUGCUCUUACGGGUGGCGAGUGGCGGACGGGUGAGGAAUACAUCGGAAUCUACUUUUUCGUGGGGGAUAACGUAGGGAAACUUACGCUAAUACCGCAUACGACCUACGGGUGAAAGCAUGGGAUCUUCGGACCUUGCGCGAUUGAAUGAGCCGAUGUCGGAUUAGCUAGUUGGCAGGGUAAAGGCCCACCAAGGCGACGAUCCGUAGCUGGUCUGAGAGGAUGAUCAGCCACACUGGAACUGAGACACGGUCCAGACUCCUACGGGAGGCAGCAGUGGGGAAUAUUGGACAAUGGGCGCAAGCCUGAUCCAGCCAUACCGCGUGGGUGAAGAAGGCCUUCGGGUUGUAAAGCCCUUUUGUUGGGAAAGAAAAGCAGCAGGUUAAUACCCCGCUGUUCUGACGGUACCCAAAGAAUAAGCACCGGCUAACUUCGUG
rnacentral:rRNA from 1 species